rnacentral:rRNA from 1 species
GGUGGAGUAAUUUGUCUGGUUUAUUCCGAUAACGAACGAGAUUCACUCCUGCUAACUAGAAUCCUCGUAGCUUAGCGAGGCAUUCUUCUUAGAGGUAUAAGCGGUGUUUAGCCGCAUGAGAUUGAGCAAUAACAGGUCUGUGAUGCCCUUAGAUGUCUGGGGCUGCACGCGUGCGACAAUGGAAGAGACAACGUGCCUACCAGCACCGAAAGGUGUUGGGAAACCGUUGAAACUCUUUCGUGACUGGGAUAGGGAAUUGUAAUUAUUUCCCUUGAACGAGGAAUUCCUAGUAAGUGCGAGUCAUCAGCUCGCGCUGAAUACGUCCCUGCCCUUUGUAC